rnacentral:rRNA from 1 species
UACCGAGCACAGCCGCGGGACACAGCCGGCCGGUCAACCUCUCCCUCUCCCUGUCCCGAGUCAUUCCGUUGCGCUGUUAUUUUACACCGCGCGCGCGUGUUUGACCGCGGACUCUCCCUCCUUCCUUCCCUCCCGUGUUCUCUCUUCUCUCGCUAUCGCUCUCCGCUGGCAGCGCGCGGCGAAAGUCUUCCCCGCUGCGCGCAACCCCGUUCAGACCGGGGAUCGGGGCAUUAAAACUUCCUUCCUACCACCAGUCAACUCUCCUCCUCCUCCUCCUCCACUGUGUUGUGUAUAUACUACUCCUACUCUGCUUGACCUGACCUGACCUGACUAGCGGUGAGCGCGGGGGCGGGCGUGGAACUUCCGAGAACUCGAGUUGCAAUUGCGGGAGACGGCGACCACGGGCAGGGCUGGUUGCACAAACUCCCCAUCUUGUGGUGAUUGUUGCGCCUCCCGGGGAAGAGUGGUGGAAACCACGAGGAGGAAGCAUCCAGGGAACGGGAAAGAUACAGAAACUCUGGAUUCUGGACCUGGUAUCAGUUUGGUGGUAGCUGGUAGAUAACUACUGCCUGGAAAUAUUGUGCUCCGGGUGAUGCCCUUGGUCUUUCUUGUUUGAUGGCAAGUGCAAACACAGGCGGCUUUCGCCUUGUGAGGUGCCCAAAGUGUCUUAACAUUCUACCUGAACCUGCAAAUGUUUCAGUCUACCAGUGCGGUGGAUGUAACACCACUCUUAGAGCUAAAAUCCGUGUCAGCGAUGCACAAAAUGUGGCUACCAAACAAGUUCGACAAGACUCUGGGGAUUACUCUGUUGUUCCCUCUGUGAGCAAUGGGGUGUCGACAAAACAAGUUCGGCAAGACUCUGGUAAUUACUCUGUUGUUACCUCUGUGAGCAAUGGGGUGUCUCCCCAAAGCAACGAACUGGGUUCCAUUGGUGCAGCUGCGGAUGAUUCCAUAACUCUUGGUGCUCCAAGCACCGAGAUCGAGCAAGAGGGCAAUGACAUCGGAAGCAGCGAGAAGGGUGAUAUUAUGUCAGAUGAGGAGAAUGUUAUGGACGUUGCAAAUACUGAAAGCAGCAAAGACGACAGUUCUGAUGGCCAGGACACCAAUGGAGAAGUAGAAGAUCUUGCUGCCCUUGUACAACCCAGUGGGAAUGGCACACAUAUAGUGGAUUCUGACAAAGAAGAGAACGACACGGUGGAGCAAAGUGCAGGGAAUAUAGAGGCUUGCGAGAUAAACGAAGAUGGUAAUAUGGAAAGCAGACUGAAUACCUCAGAACAGAACAUACCGUUAUCCGAGGAAAGAGAAUUAGCUAGCAAUUUGCCAGAAUCUGAGGAGAGUGGAGCACGCAAAACUGAACCCGCGGCAAGCAAGAGAAGCAAACUCGUAAGGGUGCAUUCUCAGUCUUGUGAUCUCCGAGAAGUGCCUGCAGUAUCAGUUGACUCCCUUGCUUUCCACUCUUCCCGGACUUCAUUCCAGUCAAAAAGCUUCAGGGCAAGCGAACCCCUUCAAUCGAAGAUUAUGAAGACGGUGGAUGAAUUGAAAGGUGACCUUUCUGAAAUCUUCAAUGAACCUUCAGAUUGCAAGCCAAGGGCACACCGUCCACAUCCGCUGAAACAAGAUGGUUACAGCCAACCUCUUACAGCUUAUCAUCCCGCCGUCAAGCAUUCUGGCUAUGCAUCUCGCCUGAGCAGGUCUGGCCAAGUUGCUCCCCAUGGCCAUGGACCGCCCUUACCGCGGUAUGGCCGGCGCAGCGCCUACUCAUACAUUCGCAGUGGGCAACUGGAAAUGAGACCUUGCCCUCACCAAUGCCACCACAGCUGCCGCCCACCUUGUUGCAGCUCCUGGAAACAAGAACCUGCACCGCAGAAGCCACCAGCUAUGGAGACAAAGCGGCGGCCUGCCUCGAGAAAUCUCUGCCGGCCAGUCCUACGGGGCGCGCCGUUCGUCCUUUGCUCGAACUGUCUGAGGCUCGUCCAGCUGCCCACCGAUUUUGCCAUUCCGAGCAGAGGAACACGCAGGCUGCAGUGUGGCUCCUGCGCGCAAGUUCUCUCCUACUCGUACAGAGACCCCAACAGAAAGAAACUUGAGUCACCAUUUGGGGGCGAUGAGUCCAGCACAGAUGACUCGGAAAUUCACCAGGUAGGCGAUGACCAUAACACUGGUGUCCAUCAAGCUGAACCAUACUCGUACUCGUACUCGGAAGAAUACGGCAUCUCGGCUGGUGUGAGCUAUUCUACCGAGGACGAACGGCCCCUGCAUGUGUCAAGGAACUCAUCUUUCAACACCAUUGAUGAAAGAAGUGGCAAGGAGUCUAAGCUUCAUCGGUUGAUGGGGUACUCUUCAGCGAGUGAGCUGAUGCGGCAUUCUCCUGAUCUGUAUGAGAGUUUCAGCAGACGAACGCCUAAUGCAAGAACAUAUGACGUGAAGGGGAAAGGCGUUUGCAUGACUGACGGUUCAGAUGCUAAACAUGGUGCGGUGAAGGGAUCAAAAGCAAAAGAGAGAAGAAUGGGCUUGCCAUUCCAAGGGAUGUUCAAGAAAGGGAUUCAUGGACUGGAAUCUCUCAAGCUCGGGUCAUAGGUAAUUUAACUUCGUUUGUCGGGACUCAGGAUUGGCGAGUUUAGGAGAAAGCAUACAUGCAGGGUGAGUUUUUGGAAUGAUGAUAGAGUGGUAGCUAUUACUGUAGUACUAGUAAGCAUUCUAAUGAAUGUGUGGGCUCACUUUAGUUGUCUGCCAUUCAUCUGUCUACAAGGCUCUACUUGUUUGGCGAUUAUGUGUGCUCUUUGAUGUGUGAUCAAAUUCUCGACGUUUGUGAUUGUAUGUAUAGACGAAGGAAUUUGUGCUUUAUUAGUUCUCCAUUUUGUUGGCUUUGAUCUUGACGGGGAGAUGUUGUGCCUUUUUACCCCAAGAAGACAACUGAAUCCUUGAAUUUGUUGGCUUUAUUAUCGCCC